rnacentral:rRNA from 1 species
GAUGAACGCUGGCGGCGUGCCUAAUACAUGCAAGUCGAGCGAACAGACGAGGAGCUUGCUCCUCUGACGUUAGCGGCGGACGGGUGAGUAACACGUGGAUAACCUACCUAUAAGACUGGGAUAACUUCGGGAAACCGGAGCUAAUACCGGAUAAUAUAUUGAACCGCAUGGUUCAAUAGUGAAAGACGGUUUUGCUGUCACUUAUAGAUGGAUCCGCGCCGCAUUAGCUAAUUGGUAAGGUAACGGCUUACCAAGGCAACGAUGCGUAGCCGACCUGAGCGGGUGAUCGGCCACCCUGGAACUGAGACACGGUCCAGACUCCUACGGGAGGCAGCAGUAGGGAAUCUUCCGCAAUGGGCGAAAGCCUGACGGAGCAACGGCGCGUGAGUGAUGAAGGUCUUCGGAUCGUAAAACUCUGUUAUUAGGGAAGAACAAAUGUGUAAGUAACUAUGCACGUCUUGACGGUACCUAAUCAGAAAGCCACGGCUAACUACGUG